AUGUCAUUGUCUUCAAUCGCUUAACUUGGUUGUUGAUAAACACAAAAUGGCGAGCACCAUUAACACAUUGCAGCGAUAGAAUGUAUGUAUACUACAAGAAAUGACCACAAAGCCUCAGAUAUUUUGUAUUGUUCACCUAGACAGUGUAAAGAAGGAAGGCGGAGAACCCUUCACAAAGACAAGGUAGGACAAAUGUUGUGAGGUGGCUAGAGAAUGGUUAGAAUUGGAUGGAAAUGACCAAUCCAUUGCAGCAUUUUUUAAUACAAAUGGAUUGAUCACGAAGGUUAUUGAAGAUACAGUUGAUAGUGGUUAUGGAUUUCACCCAAUGUGUUAUACACGUUUUACGGACAAAGCAAGGCUCAUAAAAGCAGUUAAAAGAUGUGAGAAAAAAGCAAAAAUAGAGAGUGAGAAGGCAGCAUCUACAGUCAACCCAAAUACAACUACUACUUCUAGGCCUAGUACUAGUUGUACUUCAUCAUCUUUAAAAACUAAGAGUAAAGGUGUUUUUUGUUCAUCACCUACUCCAUCAUUGAUCUCAUCAAUCUUCCUACUACUUCAUCAUCAGAGCUAAGGAAGUCAGUCUUACCAGAUAUCUGUAUCAUUUGCAAGAAAAAAUCCAAGUAUUUUCGAGUUGGAGGCACACAAAAGAGAGACAAUUUAGUCCAGUGCGAAACAAAACCAGCAGGUUCAUUGCUUGAAGCAGCAAAGCAAAAGAAAGAUGAAAGUAUUCUUAUUCACAUAAGAGACCAGGACUGUGUAGCUAUUGAAGUAAAAUAUCAUCGUGUAUGCUAUAAAAAUUAUUGUAGAUUUCUAUUUGAGAAAUCUCCACAUGGCAGUGCUGUUAAUGAACCAGAUCAACUUUAUUCUGGUAUCUAUGCUAUAUUUUGUGAAGAUGUGUUACAAAAGAAAUUGAUAGAUAAUCAAGAGAUAUUACAUAUGACAAAGUUAACAGAGAUGUUUAACAAUAUAAUUAAAGAUAA